rnacentral:rRNA from 1 species
ACAAUGCGGAACUUUUAGUUUUGCAAUUGGAUUGAGAACAAUGUACAAAUGUUAUCGAUAAACAAUUGGAGGGCAAGUCUGGUGCCAGCAGCCGCGGUAAUUCCAGCUCCAAUAGCGUAUAUUAACGUUGUUGCAGUUAAAAAGCUCGUAGUUGAAAUGUGGGAUGAAGUAUAUAAUGAAUUUCUAAUUCAAUUGUAUAUUGAUUCCCCUCUCCAAUUUAUUAUUAUGGGUAUUAAUUUAUUUGUAAUAACAACUGCUCAUUUACUGUGAGAAAAUUAGAGUGUUCAAAGCAGGCAUUUGCUUGAAUAGAUUAGCAUGGAAUAAUACUAAAAGGCUUUUAUGGUCGAUUUAAUUGGUUUGUUCAUAAAAGCAAGAUUAAAAGGAACAGUUGGGGGUAUUCAUAUUCAAUAGUUAGAGGUGAAAUUCUCGGAUUUAUGGAA